rnacentral:rRNA from 1 species
AAAGAUUAAGCCAUGCAUGUCUAAGUAUAAGCAAUUUGUACUGUGAAACUGCGAGUGGCUCAUUAGAUCAGUUAUCGUUUAUUUGAUAGUACCUUACUACAUGGAUACCUGUGGUAAUUCUAGAGCUAAUACAUGCUAAAAACCUCGACUUCGGAAGGGGUGUAUUUAUUAGAUAAAAAACCAAUGCCCUUCGGGGCUCCUUGGUGAAUCAUAAUAACUUAGCGAAUCGCAUGGCCUUGCGCCGGCGAUGGUUCAUUCAAAUUUCUGCCCUAUCAACUUUCGAUGGUAGGAUAGUGGCCUACCAUGGUGGCAACGGGUAACGGGGAAU